rnacentral:piRNA from 1 species
GGCCUGUUGGAAUGAAGAUGUUCCUC